rnacentral:lncRNA from 1 species
AAGAAAGCAAAGACAGAAAUGAUAAAAUUUUCCUUGAUUGUAGUGGCUCUGUUUCUCAUUGGUGUCCAUGAGAAAUUAUUUAAAAACCUCUCAAAUCAUUCUGAUUAGCCUCUCUGGAGGAAAACAGAUGUAAGUGCCAAUAAAAAUGGAUUAAGGGAUCUAAGUACAAUAUCUAAGCACAGGCUGUUUCUGCCCUCAAUGGUCACUACAAUACACCAGUAGAUGAGGUCAUCUGUUUUUACCACAUGUGCAGGGUUUCUCCGUUUUCUCAAUUUUAUAGGUAUUCUGUUUAAUCUGAUAUUCACAGAUAAGUCAUCUUAUUAACAUUCUUCAUAACACACUUAUUUUUUAAUAACUCCUGUAAAUCUUCAUUAAGUUUUAAGUUAUCUGUUUCUAUGGGAUUCGCCUGUGGAAGUGGGGAAAGGUGGGGAAAAUAGAGGAUAGCUACAGGGUUUGCUGCCCCUAUUAAAGUCUAAACACUCCUGUCUUGGAAAAGCUAUGCCUCACACAUUUCCCAGAGUCACACCAUGUGAGUCUUUGCCAAAGACAAUUUCAAGUCAGCUUCAUUGAAAAAUGCACUCUUGUAAGAUAUGUGUUAUAUGCCCUUCAAAGCUCUUGGAACUGUACCACCCACCAUCACUGCUAUUCCAGGUCCCCCCCAACCACACACUUUUUUUGCAGAGCUUGGGAUUCUCACAUCUUCCCCUUGAUAGUUUGACACUAUCAGCUCCCUUAUGUGAAGCCUCCUUCCUCUAGAGGGGUUGAGUAUGAACUCUACUAAUGAUUGAGCCUGCCAUUUUGGAACAGGACUGCCUUAUGCUGCGGAGCUAGUUCCCCUUUCACUGGAAGAACCCAGGAUAAACGCUUCACAUUCCUGUGAUGGGCACCAGAUAGGGUCUGAGAAGGGCUAAGCCUGCCUGAAAGACCUAGAGUUCCUACUAUGACUUAUAUAGGCUUACCUACACUUGCUCUGAUUUCUUCCUUGCUAGAUUUUUUGGGGAACAGAGAAGCUGAAUCUCUUCUCUAUCUCUCACUCUCUCUAAACCCCUUUCAACUUUAACUUAUUUAAAUUUGCUUCACAAAAGUUAGAGUGUCAUAGAAACUCAAGAUGUUUCUAAUAAGGUCUUUGAAAGCAGAGUAAGCUUGCACAAAUAUCUGCCCAAACAGAAGGCUACAGCAUAGAGACUAAGCAUGCCUGGUAACUUCCAGAAUGUGCUGGACUUUCUUUCUGGCACAUCAAAGCCUACAAAGGCUCUCUGUCAUAUUAACCUGAUAUGACACCUGCUGCCAACACCAGGGACUUUGAUGAAACUGAUCUAGCGAGACUACUAAUUAUUUAGGAGAUGGGCUGUAUCCCACAUUUGCAGAGUAUUAGAGCUGAAAUGGGGGAAUCUGUAUGUUUUAAGGAAGAGGACUAUAAUCUGGUAUGUUCUAGCAAGAUUUAUUCUAUGACAUACAACCACACACAGGCAUAAAUAAAAUGCUUUAGGUUUGAAGUAUGGUGAAAUACUUUAGAGGCAGCAUGAUAUACAAAAAGUAUUCAUUAAGAAGUUUGAAUAUUGGCUCUUCUACAUAUGAUCUUGGUGAUCUUGAACUAUUUACAUAAUCUGAUGGGG